UACGGGGGGAGCAAGCGUUGUUCGGAUUUACUGGGCGUAAAGGGCGCAUAGGCGGCCAGCACAAGUCAGUUGUGAAAUCUCCGAGCUUAACUCGGAAAGGUCAACUGAUACUGUGCGGCUAGAGUGCAGAAGGGGCAACUGGAAUUCUUGGUGUAGCGGUGAAAUGCGUAGAUAUCAAGAGGAACACCUGCGGCGAAGGCGGGUUGCUGGGCUGACACUGACGCUGAGGCGCGAAAGCUAGGGGAGCGAACGGG
rnacentral:rRNA from 1 species